rnacentral:lncRNA from 1 species
AUGGAUGAAGAUUAUGUAUGGGACAAUGAGCAGGGCACUAAGAAAAAUGAAGAUAAAAAAGCUACACAGAUUUAUAUCUCUUCUGAAGAAGAAGAAAGCGAGGAAGAUCCUGUUGAAGAUGAAGAUGAGGAUGGAGAACAGGAAGAUGAGGAUAUGGAUGAAGAUGAUGUAGGUAACGAUGAGCGUAGCACUGAGGAUGAUGAGGAUGAAGAAAGUGAUAAUGGUGAGGAUGAGACUGUGCCUGCUGUUGCCUCUAACCAUACUGACAGCAGUGGUAUCAAAGAGAGAGUAACACCUACAAUUCCAACACCUGGAAAACAUGCAUUAGAGAUGAAAGAAGUAAAGGGUAUCGUUAACAUCCUUCCUGAGAAGACUAGACAUCAUUCUGACAUGCCAAGAUCUGAAGUCAGUGGAAAUAACAAAGAUGUGGCAAAAAACACAGCAAUCAAACAGCAAAAUGUUAAGAAACAACCUGAAGAGAAACUGAGUGAGUUGUUCAAACACUAA